rnacentral:rRNA from 1 species
CGGCGAGUGAAGCGGGAAGAGCUCAAAUUUGAAAUCUGGUAGCCUUCGGUUGCCCGAGUUGUAAUCUAGAGAAGUGUUUUCCGCGUUGGCCCAUGUACAAGUCCCUUGGAACAGGGCGUCAUAGAGGGUGAGAAUCCCGUCCUUGACAUGGACCCCCAAUGCUUUGUGAUACACUUUCAACGAGUCGAGUUGUUUGGGAAUGCAGCUCAAAAUGGGUGGUGAAUUCCAUCUAAAGCUAAAUAUUGGCGAGAGACCGAUAGCGAACAAGUACCGUGAGGGAAAGAUGAAAAGCACUUUGGAAAGAGAGUUAAACAGUACGUGAAAUUGUUGAAAGGGAAACGAUUGAAGUCAGUCAUGCUCUUUGGAUUAAGCCGUUCUGCGGUGUAUUUCAUUGAGCGGGGUCAACAUCAGUUUUGAUCGCUGGAAAAGGGCAGGAGGAAGGUAGCACUCUCGGGUGAACUUAUAGCCUCUUGUCGUAUACAGUGAUUGGGACUGAGGAACGCAGCAUGCCUUUUGGCCGGGAUUCGUCCACGUACAUGCUUAGGAUGUUGACAUAAUGGCUUUAAACGACCCGUCUUGA